CAAAUAUAAUAUGAAAACUUAGAUAUAUAUAUUAUGAUAUAUAAUAUGAAAACUUAGAAUUGAAAUAUAUGUAUUAUGAUAUAAUAUGAGACUUAAAUGAAAUAAAAUAUUGAGAUUUGAGACUUAAGAUUGAGAGUUGAGACUUGAAAGAAUAUAAAAAAUAGAUGAGAGAAUAUAUAAUUUUGUAAGAAAUAAUAAGGGAUAGAGGGG
rnacentral:lncRNA from 1 species